rnacentral:rRNA from 1 species
AGGACGAACGCUGGCGGCGUGCUUAACACAUGCAAGUCGAACGGUGAACUCCGCUUGCGGGGGAUCAGUGGCGAACGGGUGAGUAACACGUGGGCAACCUGCCCUCAGCUCUGGGAUAACUCCAAGAAAUUGGGGCUAAUACUGGAUAUGACUGCUGACCGCAUGGUCUGGUGGUGGAAAGAUUUAUCGGCUGGGGAUGGGCCCGCGGCCUAUCAGCUUGUUGGUGGGUAGUGGCCUACCAAGGCGACGACGGGUAGCCGGCCUGAGAGGGUGACCGGGCCAACGACUGGGACUGAGACACGGCCCAGACUCCUACGGGAGGCAGCAGUGGGGAAUAUUGCGCAAUGGGCGAAAGCCUGACGCAGCGACGCCGCGUGGGGAUGACGGCCUUCGGGUGUAAACCGUCUUUCAGCAGGACGAAGCGAGAGUGACGGUACCUGCAGAGAAGCACGGCAACACGUGCCAGCAGCCGCGU